rnacentral:rRNA from 1 species
AUACCCGCUCCGCGAGUGGUGAGGACUAUUACUGGGCUUAAAGCGCCCGUAGCCGGCCGGGUGUGUCCUCCGUUAAAUCCACAGGCCUAACCUGUGGGCUGCGGGGGAUACUACCCGGCUUGGGGGUGGGAGAGGGCGGCGGUAUUCCCGGGGUAGGGGUAAAAUCCACUGAUCCCGGGAGGACCACCAGUGGCGAAGGCGGCCGCCCAGAACACGCCCGACGGUGAGGGGCGAAAGCUGGGGGAGCAAACGGGAUUAGAUACCCUAGUAGUCC